AUGAGAACCUGCAUAAAGCCGAUGGAGCACUGGAGGAAGCCAUCACAUGGCUCAGUGAAACUAAACGUUGAUGGCUCGUGGGUUCAUGAAGAAGGUAUAGGAGGCGCCGGUAUGAUUCUCCGGGAUGAUACAUGUGCUGUCAUUUUUUUAUCGUGUCGAUUCAUCCCACGCUGUGUGAGUGCACUCGAAGCGGAGAUGGCCCGCAUCAAGGAGGGGGUGACCCUUGCACUGGAUAACAACAUGGAGCAUCUUGUUAUUGAGACGGACUGUGCGACGGCAGCACAUAUGAUCAAUGGCCAAAGCUCAGAUAGAUCACCGGUGGCAGGAUGGUAA
rnacentral:rRNA from 1 species